GACGAACGCUGGCGGCGUGCCUAAUACAUGCAAGUAGAACGCUGAAGCGAGGAGCUUGCUCUUCUUGGGUGAGUUGCGAACGGGUGAGUAACGCGUAGGUAACCUGCCUGGUAGCGGGGGAUAACUAUUGGAAACGAUAGCUAAUACCGCAUAAAAUUGAUUAUUGCAUGAUACUUAAUUGAAAGAUGCAACUGCAUCACUACCAGAUGGACCUGCGUUGUAUUAGCUAGUUGGUGAGGUAACGGCUCAACAAGGGCACGGUACAUAGGCUGGCUGGGAGGGUGGACGGCCACAAUGGGACCGGGGCAAGGGCCAGGAGUCCACGGGGGGGAGGAGGAGGGGAACAUUGGCAAAGGGGGGAAAGCUUGACGGGGAAAGCCGGGUGGGUGGAGGAGGGUUUUGGGGUGUAAAGGCCCGUUGGUAGGGAAGGACGGGUGGGAGAGUGGAAAGUUGACGCUGUGACGGUACCUUACGAGAAAGCGCCGGCUAACUACGUG
rnacentral:rRNA from 1 species